CCUGAAGCAGAACCCUUUGCUGAAAACUGUCAGUAAGGAAGAGAUGGAGACAGCACUUGGUAAAUGGUUUACAAAUGCAAGCGACAGAGAAAACAACCGUGCUUUGAGAGCGCAGCGGGACCAUGAUUGCAGGGCAGUACAGCCGGAAGUUGUCAAUAAUGUCCAAAAGAGGGCAGUGUUCUCAUUAUGAACGCUCAAAGAGAGUACAUUUCUUUUCGCGCACGAGACCUCAAUCAUUUCCGGUCUGCAUGCAAGGGAAGCGGGAAAGUCUGUUUUCACCGUGAGAGAUAGAGACUUGUACCAGUCUCGAACAUCAUCUCCAGCAACAAGAAGGAGGACAGCCAUAUCUCCUUGCUGUUUGCAGGAACCGCUACCAGACUGAGCACGUCUACAGAGCUCUUGAGAAGAAUCUCAUCCCCAUACCACAGCUUCUGCUCGGAUCUCAGCAUGCUUCACAGACAUAUUUAAUGGAUUGCUCAUCAGUAAAAACUCAACCCCAGCAAAACAGAACUGCUGGUCAUCCCAGGUGAUUCAUCUCCAUCUCAGGAUCUCAGAAUCUUCAUGACUCUCUGCUCUUUUCUUCAGCCACUGCUCGCAACCUCGUGUCAACUAUGCAUAAUCGACUGUCCUGUUCCUCACAUGUUGCUAAUGUGGCACGUUCCUGUUGAUUUCUUCUCUACAACAUCUGAAGGUUUCGACCAUUUCUGUCCACACAGGCUGCUCAGGUGCUCGUUCAGUCUCUAGUGAUUAUAAAACUAUACUACUGCAGCUCUCUGCUGGCAGGUCUUCUUCUGAACAUGAUCGAAAAAAUACUGAUCAUCAAAACACAUUUCCAAGCGGGUGAGAAAGUGGACGAGGAGCUAAGUUUUGCUCUCUCUCGUGCUCUCUCUCGUGCUCUCUCUCGUGCUCUCUCUCUCUCUCUCUCUCUCUCUCUCUCUCUCUCUCUCUCUCUCUGGCUUAUGUUCAUUAUUUAUUUAUGCUUUUAUUUUAGCAUGUUAUGAGGUGUGGGACUUCAGUGUUUGUGUGUAUGUUCUUUCUACAGAAAAGUGAGCAAAAAAGUCACAUUUAAUUUAAGAGGGGUGUAACAUGGGAAAUAUACAAAACUAUUUCUAUUGUAUUUUAUUUUUUUAUUUUUAUAAGAUUUAAGAGUUUUUACACUUAAUAAAACACUGAACAACAUAAACCCUUUGAACCAUUUUGUGAACAUAAAUUUCUAAUCUGUUCAUGUAAUUUAUCACAUCAUUUAGCUGUUCUUUAUAAGCUACUGUCACGUCCUCUGGGUUUAUGUUCCAGCACUUUUAAUAAUGCGUUUCAUAGCACUUCACAAUACAAACCGUACAGUACACUAUUGGUGUUUAUGUACAGAUCCUCACGGUUAAAGUCUUUGUGUCUCCGUUGUUUCCUGGGAAAGUGUGUGGCUGCUGAAUUUUUCAAUUUCCUGUUUAUUGUUUCAUUGAGGAUUAAAAAUGUUAUGUUUGUAUAAACUUUGAAAUAAAAUUUAGGCAAGUUAUUAUUAAAGA